rnacentral:lncRNA from 1 species
AAGGCAUGGGGUGCUUUGCACCUCCAGGGCUCCCCUGAACAGUCCCCAUAAUGCCUCCAGAUGCUACUAGUCUGGAAACCAAUCAAUCUUCCCUUUAACUAGUUAGCACACCUUCCCUGGGGUUCUUUAUCAAGGCACACACAUCCUCAGUACUGAAAGAUGCAUGGAUAUGGCUUCAGAAAAUGAGGCUCUCUGAAUAUUUUCUUAUGAAGGCUUUCAUAUACAUACAGAGUUAAGAAGAGGUGGGGAGGGGCUACAGGUACAUACAGCUUUUUACCUGAUAGCCAUGGCUGUCAAAUUUGGUCUCCGCUCUGCAUGACGCAAUAAUUAAUGCUUUUCUCACAGUAGCGGAAAAAGGACUUUCUUUAAUAUUAUGCCAAGUGACCCUCUAGGGCAAAGGCUCCACUUCAUAGCUAGGAUUCAUGAAAGUGUUUACUAUGAUGCCAUUCAGAUUGUAGGCAGCCCACAUGCUAGUCAGGCCAAAUUUUUGUCUAGUUUCACUGCUCCAGUGAAAGCAGUGUGGCUGUUUAUUGCGGAGACCAGAUUGCUUCUCAACUCCGGUCAGGCUUUUUCAGCUCAGAUGGACAGUUUCUUUAUUCUCAUCCAUUUCUGUUGGCAAGAGUGAGAAAAUGGAAAUCAAAUUCUCUCCAGGAGAAGAAAGGACCAGAGAGAGACAGACUGAAUCUUUCAGGAAAAAGUGGAUCAGUUGAUACUAUUGUGAUUAACCUUCCUGGCAUAAUUACAUAGCAGAAAAACAUUACUGCUUUGGCAGCUCUGCAAUCAUAUCAUUUGUUUUGUUAUAUUUCAUAGAUUAAGGCCAAGACAUAGGCCAAGAAAUGGGAAGGAGGAUCCUCAAAAAUCAUCUCUACUUUUUGUCUUCCUUACAUUUAUUUCCCUUAGCAGAAGUAGUGUGAUGCCAAUUGUGACACUCAUUAUGCCUAUAUCUUAAUGAAUUUUCUAUCACACAUCUAUCUUGAAUCAG